rnacentral:misc_RNA from 1 species
AACGGUCUAUACCUGCGGUACCUGCGGAGGGAUCAUUACCGAGUGAGGGCCCUCUGGGUCCAACCUCCCACCCGUGUUUAUCGUACCUUGUUGCUUCGGCGGGCCCGCCGCAAGGCCGCCGGGGGGCUUCCGCCCCCGGGCCCGCGCCCGCCGAAGACACCUGUGAACGCUGUAUGAAGAUUGCAGUCUGAGGGAAAAGCUAAAUUUAUUAAAACUUUCAGCAACGGAUCUCUAGAUCGG